rnacentral:tRNA from 1 species
GAACCUUAUAGUUCAGGUUUAGGAGUUUUUUUAGUAGAAAUAGGAAGUUGUGGAUAAACAAUUGCUGGUUUUGUUCCUGUUAAGGAUUU